AUUUUAAAAGAGCAGACUACUGCUGGAAAUAGGCAAUAGCCACAUGAGAACAAAAGUUAUCUAAUGCUGUGAAACACACUAAAUCCAAAUGAGAGAAUAAUUGGAAAGAUGGAGCAGAGAUACAACAUCUGUCAACUAUUUCCUACAUCUGGUCUGCUGAUAUAAUAAUUGGCUCUACAGAUUUACCGUAAUUGUGUGUUCAGCUUUAAAAAGAAUGAUGGUACCCGACUUCUGGGACUGGCCAGACUGCUCUGGAGUCAAAAAGAAGUCUUCACGCUCCAUUCCACUGGACAAGCCUGUCACCUGUCCAAUUUCCUCCUCCAACUUGCCCUCCUUGUUCUCCUCUUUAUCCUGGGGAUUGACUCCACUGGCUAUGUCCUCCAAUCCCCUUGAAAUAUCUGUGAGGUUCUUGGUGAUGGAGGUGAAGUUGUAACAGACGAUGGCAUGCCCCUCGCUGUAGAGUGGCAUGCUUUUUGCUUCACAGCAGAGCAACAGCUGGCCUCCCUUGACUUCUGGUGUGUCUCCCUCUGCUCCUUGAUCUUAGCAUGGCACUGACAUGUGUCCCUUUUGUGAACCUUCUCGUCCAUGCCAUGAACAAUCUUCUCAUAGGUGUCAAAGUUCCUAUGGUUGGACUGGAAUUGUGGUUCUCCUUUCUCCACAAACCCAGCAGAUGCAGCAGCUAUGGUGUACUCCACGCAGGAGCCCCUUUCCUGUGGAAAGCUGGUAUGCUCAGCUGGGAAGAUACAAUAUAAGCUGUCCACACCAAGCAAACAGGAAGUGGAAUUUAAAAAGUUUCCAGGGAUUUAAAAGGGGAGGUGUGCAUGCCAGUGUACCUGGUUGCAGUGUAAUGGAAUAGAAACACCCUAUCACUGUGUCCAUGAUGGUCAUUAUGGAAAAUGUCCUAGAAGCCACUUAAGCAAGUGUCUACAUUGCUCUAACUUUGUCACAAAAUUAUCUAUGCCAUGUGUUGAUUAGUUUUA